rnacentral:rRNA from 1 species
CUUGAGUGCAGUUGAGGCAGGCGGAAUUCGUGGUGUAGCGGUGAAAUGCUUAGAUAUCACGAAGAACUCCGAUUGCGAAGGCAGCCUGCUAAGCUGCAACUGACAUUGAGGCUCGAAAGUGUGGGUAUCAAACAGGAUUAGAUACCCUGGUAGUCCACACGGUAAACGAUGAAUACUCGCUGUUUGCGAUAUACUGCAAGCGGCCAAGCGAAAGCGUUAAGUAUUCCACCUGGGGAGUACGCCGGCAACGGUGAAACUCAAAGGAAUUGACGGGGGCCCGCACAAGCGGAGGAACAUGUGGUUUAAUUCGAUGAUACGCGAGGAACCUUACCCGGGCUUAAAUUGCAGAUGAAUUACGGUGAAAGCCGUAAGCCGCAAGGCAUCUGUGAAGGUGCUGCAUGGUUGUCGUCAGCUCGUGCCGUGAGGUGUCGGCUUAAGUGCCAUAACGAGCGCAACCCUUGUUGUCAGUUACUAACAGGUUCCGCUGAGGACUCUGACAAGACUGCCAUCGUAAGAUGUGAGGAAGGUGGGGAUGACGUCAAAUCAGCACGGCCCUUACGUCCGGGGCUACACACGUGUUACAAUGGGGGGUACAGAGGGCCGCUACCACGCGAGUGGAUGCCGAUCCCCAAAACCUCUCUCAGUUCGGACUGGAGUCUGCAACCCGACUCCACGAAGCUGGAUUCGCUAGUAAUCGCGCAUCAGCCACGGCGCGGUGAAUACGUUCCCGGGCCUUGUACACACCGCCCGUCAAGCCAUGGGAGCCGGGGGUACCUGAAGUGCGUAACCGCGAGGAGCGCCCUAGGGUAAAACUGGUGACUGGGGCUA